rnacentral:misc_RNA from 1 species
GAUGAAGAACGUAGCGAAAUGCGAUACGUAAUGUGAAUUGCAGAAUUCAGUGAACCAUCGAAUCUUUGAACGCACAUUGCGCCCGGCAGUAAUCUGCCGGGCAUGCCUGUCCGAGCGUCAUUUCUGCCCUCGAGCGAGUCCAGCAUCUAGGUGCUGGGCCCGCCCGGCGUUGGGGCACUACGGGAAGCCCUGUGCUGUCCCCCGUAGGCCCCGAAAUGAAGUGGCGGUCCUGCCGCGGCGCCCCCUGCGUAGUAUAACAGCUCGCUUCGGGACCCGGUGGAGGCCUGCCGUCAAACCUUACUCUCUAAGUUUGACCUCGGAUCAGGUAGGGUUACCCGCUGAACUUAAGCAUAUCAAUAAGCGGAGGA